rnacentral:rRNA from 1 species
UACGAAGGGGGCUAGCGUUGCUCGGAAUCACUGGGCGUAAAGCGCACGUAGGCGGAUCUUUAAGUCAGGGGUGAAAUCCCAAGGCUCAACCUUGGAACUGCCUUUGAUACUGGCUAUCUUGAGUACGGAAGAGGUAUGUGGAACUCCGAGUGUAGAGGUGAAAUUCGUAGAUAUUCGGAAGAACACCAGUGGCGAAGGCGACAUACUGGUCCGUUACUGACGCUGAGGCUCGAAAGCGUGGGGAGCAAACAGG